rfam:TPA: Bos taurus chromosome 12, whole genome shotgun sequence.
UCCCUGGUGGCUCAGACGGUAGAGAAUCUGCCUGCAAGGCAGGAGACCCAGGUUCUAUCUCUGGGUCAGGAAG